rnacentral:miRNA from 1 species
ACCCUCCCACCUCCUGGACAGCAUACAUGUUGAACAUGUAUGCUGUCCAGGAGGUGGGAGGGU